UACGUAGGGGGCUAGCGUUGUCCGGAAUCAUUGGGCGUAAAGAGCGUGUAGGCGGUCCGGUAAGUCCGUUGUGAAAGUCAAGGGCUCAACCCUUGAAUGCCGGCGGAUACUGUCGGGCUAGAGUCCGGAAGAGGCGAGUGGAAUUCCCGGUGUAGCGGUGAAAUGCGCAGAUAUCGGGAGGAACACCUAUGGCGAAGGCAGCUCGCUGGGACGGCACUGACGCUGGAGACGCGAAAGCGUGGGGAGCAAACAGG
rnacentral:rRNA from 1 species